AGACAGACCAUUAGAAAGUAAACAAACAAAUAAACGCGAUAGCUUAUCUCCAAAGAUGGCCGCAAUCAAUGCUUUUCCCCCUUUUAUACAUGUGUCGCUUCUCAUUUAAGAGGUAGAAUUUUUUCCCCAAUGCCGUUGAACUUGGAUUGGUCUUUGAUUGCUUUGACCUCCUGAAUAUGGCAGCGGAAGUACAUUGUACCAGUUCCAGGCCAGUUUGAUAAGAGAACUGGCAGUCUCUGCUUUUUUUUCUUUUGGAAGCUUGAGUUGCCAAGAAGUCCAGGCUACUCUUCUGGAGAGAAAGGCUGCCUGGAGGAGCACUGAGGCACCAGACACACAAGGGAAGAAGCUGUCCUGGAUGUCAAGCCCAGAAAAGAUGACUCCAACCCAGUUGCUAUGUAACUGCUACAGUUAGGAGAGGCCCUAUCAAGAACUGUCCAGGUAUGGUCUGCCCCACCUCCUAUCCUCUGCCUAUAAACACCCCAGACUCAGCCAGUAGAGAGGAGAAGUGGCUGGACAUCAGAGAGAGGCAACUUGACUUCAGAGAUGGUGGCUGGACAUUGGAGAGGUGUGACUUGACUUCAGGGGAGAGUGACUUGCCCUUCCCAUUCCCUUUUCAGCUUCUUCUCUGCUGAGAACCACUUUCAUUGCUCAGUAAAAUUCUCUGCAUUCAAAA